rnacentral:rRNA from 1 species
GAUGGACGCUGGCGGCGUGCUUAACACAUGCAAGUCGAACGGAAAGGCUCCUGCUUGCAGGGGCACUCGAGUGGCGAACGGGUGAGUAACACGUGGGUGAUCUGCCCUGCACUUCGGGAUAAGCCUGGGAAACUGGGUCUAAUACCGGAUAGGACCAUCGUUUAGUGUCGGUGGUGGAAAGUUUUUUCGGUGUGGGAUGAGCUCGCGGCCUAUCAGCUUGUUGGUGGGGUAAUGGCCUACCAAGGCGUCGACGGGUAGCCGGCCUGAGAGGGUGUACGGCCACAUUGGGACUGAGAUACGGCCCAGACUCCUACGGGAGGCAGCAGUGGGGAAUAUUGCACAACGGGCGCAAGCCUGAUGCAGCGACGCCGCGUGGGGGAUGACGGCCUUCGGGUUGUAAACUCCUUUCGCCAGGGACGAAGCGAAAGUGACGGUACCUGGAUAAGAAGCACCGGCUAACUACGUG